UUAAGCAGCUCGUUAAAGGCCAAGCUAACGAAGCGGCCUGCACUGCAAGCCUCAACAAACAAUGUGACUGUGCAGGCUACAAAUUGGUUUCCUGAACACUCUCCCUGACUGCCAUUGGUUGGAAAACAUAUAGUCCUGACCCAGUGUUCCUGUAUCAGGCUGAUCAGGAUGCAGAACAAUGUUUUGAUAGCACCUCAAGGCCAAGGAGGAGUACAACGGAGUAACUACUGUAGCGGAGGGCAAAUGAAGUUCAGCUGUGGUGAAGGGGUGAGACAACAGCGAGAGAGAUCGAGAGACGUGUCUAAUGAUGGAAUGCACACAGAGAGAUGAAAACCAAUGGAGACAAAGGAUGUACAGAGUGACCGAGAGAGGGAGAGAGAUGGCGAUGGGGUGGCUGACUGCUGUUGAACUCAUCCUCAUCUUAAUUGAUGAGGUCAUCCCGGGGACUAUCCCAAAACUAGAGUGUCCCCGGGAGGUCGUCACCAGGUCAUCCAAAAGUCAAAGUGCAUCGG